UACAGAGGUGGCAAGCGUUGUUCGGAAUUACUGGGCGUAAAGGGCGAGUAGGCGGCCUUCUAAGUCAGACGUGAAAUCCCCCGGCUUAACCUGGGAACUGCGUCUGAUACUGGGAGGCUAGAGUAUGGGAGAGGGAUGUGGAAUUCCAGGUGUAGCGGUGAAAUGCGUAGAUAUCUGGAGGAACACCGGUGGCGAAGGCGGCAUCCUGGACCAUAACUGACGCUGAUCCGCGAAAGCUAGGGGAGCAAACGGG
rnacentral:rRNA from 1 species